UACAGAGGUCCCAAGCGUUGUUCGGAUUCACUGGGCGUAAAGGGUGCGUAGGCGGUCGGGUAAGUCUGAUGUGAAAUCUCACAGCUUAACUGUGAAACUGCAUUGGAUACUAUUCGGCUUGAGAGUUGGAGGGGGGACUGGAAUUCUUGGUGUAGCGGUGAAAUGCGCAGAUAUCAGGAGGAACACCGAUGGCGAAGGCAGCUCUCUGGGUCCCUACCGACGCUGGGGUGCGAAAGCAUGGGGAGCGAACGAGG
rnacentral:rRNA from 1 species